rnacentral:rRNA from 1 species
CCUACGGGUGGCAGCAGUGGGGAAUAUUGCACAAUGGGGGAAACCCUGAUGCAGCAACGCCGCGUGAGUGAUGACGGCCUUCGGAUUGUAAAGCUCUGUCUUCAGGGACGCUUAUGACGGUACCUGAGGCGGAAGCCACGGCUAACUACGUACCAGAAGCCGCGGUAAUUCGUAGGUGGCGCGUGUUGUCCGGAUUUACUGGGCGUAAGGGGAGCGUAGGCGGACUUUUAAGUCAGAUGUAAAAUACUCGGGCUCAAGUUGAGUGCUGCAUUUAAAACUGGAAGUCUAGAGUGCAGGAGCGGAGAAAGGAAUGCCUAGUGUAGCGGUGACAUGCGUAGAGAUUAGGCAGAACACCAGUGGCGAAGGCGAUUCUCUGGACUGUAACUGACGCUGAGGCUCGAAAGCGUGGGGAGCAAACAGGAUUAGAUACCCCAGUAGUC